GCGACUGCGGCAUAAAAACACUCAAGUGGAGAAAGGAAGCAGUCACCAUUCAGGAAUAUCGACUAAUUUACAUCGUGUCAUUUUGAGCAGUGAUGUAAACAGCUAAAACACUCCUGAGGAAAGAUGUCUAUCAAGAGCAUGUGGACUUUCACUUUUG